AACGAACGCUGGCGGCAGGCUUAACACAUGCAAGUCGAGCGCCCCGCAAGGGGAGCGGCAGACGGGUGAGUAACGCGUGGGAACGUACCUUUUGGUUCGGAACAACUCCGGGAAACUGGAGCUAAUACCGGAUAAGCCCUAACGGGGAAAGAUUUAUCGCCGAAAGAUCGGCCCGCGUCUGAUUAGCUAGUUGGUGAGGUAACGGUUCACCAAGGCGACGAUCAGUAGCUGGUCUGAGAGGAUGAUCAGCCACACUGGGACUGAGACACGGCCCAGACUCCUACGGGAGGCAGCAGUGGGGAAUAUUGGACAAUGGGCGCAAGCCUGAUCCAGCCAUGCCGCGUGAGUGAUGAAGGCCUUAGGGUUGUAAAGCUCUUUUGUCCGGGAAGAUAAUGACUGUACCGGAAGAAUAAGCCCCGGCUAACUUCGUG
rnacentral:rRNA from 1 species